GAGCCCUCCAGUCCCUCCCGUCCGCCCGCGCCCCGGCAGUCGGCGCGGGACUUCCCGCUGACAAGGGUCCUUGACUUGGCUCUCAACUCCGUCCCUGAAGUCCCUGAGCGCCCAGAGACGCCCACCUGGCGGCUACAGAGCCCUGGGCGGUGGCCAAACCAUCUCCAAAAUUUUGGGCCACACGUGGGAUGGUAUUCGGGGAUCGGAGAGGUCGCUACUCUACACAAACAGCACACCUGGUCUCAGGGGCCCUGACAAAGUGUGACCUGCACUGGCCCCACCUCAGGGCAGUCGCCCUCACAUCCCCAGACCAGACUGGGCUCAGAGCAAUGUCCUGCACGGCGGGCGUGAGUGAGCGAGCGGGCGUGCCCUCCAGAGGCCUCCGGACGGCGCAAACUGUCUUUUGUUUGGGCACAGAUUCGAGAAUGCUGCAGCCCGGCCUGGAAGAGGGUCUGGAUUACUUUCCCGUUCCUCGUGUUCCUGCAUCUCGAAGGCCUCCCCAGCAUUCCCUGGUGGUUAUUUUGAGUGCACCUGUUCCUGAAACGGCUUGAGAAUCCCACGGACUUGUCGUUAGCAGGCAGGUGCAUCUACAUUGCCAAGUUUAGUUCUCCACCUACUGCGGAUCUGGUGUUCUUGUCUGCUCUCGGCUCCUCCUCUUUUCAGGAAACCGUUCAGCAUUCGCCGAGGGUCUAGGCCUGUGUGGGACACACCGACGGGGUGCGACGGAGUUUUUCUGCAAAGUACACACUUGCGUUGUGGCUACUAGAUUGCAGAACUCUGUCCGGUGCCAAAACAUAGAGCACAGGCAAUGGCUUUGGUUCUAAUACAUGGCCUGCAGAUCUAGAGGAGUCCAAAUCUUCAAGGAAGGAGGAGUGUUUGUUGAGAGUAUGAGUUGGGGGGACAAGCAGACUCCCCGCUGAGCAGGGAGCCCGACUGGGGCUCAAUCCCAGGACCCCAAGAUCACAACCUGAGCUGAAGGCAGACAUGUGUCCGACUGAGCCACCCAGAGGCCCCUGCAAUUUACUCCUACUGAAAAUAUAGAGCCCAAGCCGGGGGAGCUGCAGGCAGAGGGAGAAGCAAGCUCCCCGCUGAGCAGGGAGCCCUAUGUGGGACUUGAUCUGAGGAUCUCUGGAUCAUGACCUGAGCCAAAGGCAGACGUUUAACUGACUGAGCCACGCAGGCGCCCCUCAAUUCAUCUUUUAAACAAUGCUUCAGUAAACACACAGUGGGCACACAGUGGCCCCUGGAAGGCUGGCAGGCUCAGAACUUGGCUCACAGGAGUGCUGCCUGAUGAGGGCCAUAGAGGGGAGCCAGUGGGGGGUGGGGUGCCCUGACCACUCACAGGAGGGCCGGAACAUGGGAUUUGACUUGAGUCCUGAAGAAGAAUCUGCAGAACUUGGUAGGGCAGAUAAGGCAGGGGCAGGACUCAAACACGGCAUAAGCAGGUUCUAGUCCCAUCAGCAGAUCCCACUGGCCUGAUCGUCUAAGUGGAUCCCAGAGUGAGUCCAUUCUGAUCCCCCCAACCACUACCCCAGCCUGGCCCCUGGGCCAGGGAAGUGGCCUCUCACUGGUCUCUGUACUUCUAGCCUAUUCUCCCCAGAGCAGAUGGAAUGAUCCUUAUAAAAGGUAAGACCAGGGACGCUGGGUGGCUCAGUGGGUUAAGCCUCUGCUUUCAGCUCAGCAUGAUCUCAGGGUCCUGGGAUCGAGCCCCCCUCCCCGGGCCCCUGGGUCAGGCUGCCUGCUCAGCGGGGAGUCUGCUUCUCCCUCUGGCCCUGCCCCUAGCCGUGCACUUACUCUCUCUCCAAUAAAUAAAAUCUUUAAAAAUUAAAUACAUAAAAGGUAAGACAAGGUUCCACUUCACCUCAGGAUCCCUCCCUGGCUCCCCAGCUACUCAGAAUUGAGUCCAGGCCUCCGGGGCUCUGUGGGAGCUUGCCGUUUUGAUCCUGGACCGGUCCAUCUCCGGAGGUCCCCCUGCAUCCGCAUCUCCCUUCUCAGCACUUGCCCCAUGCGAAGGCCCUUUUUCCUGCUUCCUGGAUUUACAGUCGGUCUCCCUGCUGGCGCGGAAGCUUCCUGAGCCGGAGUACUUGGUCCCCUUCACUACUACAGCCUCUGCACCUACGACCACGCCUGGCACUGCCAGGAGCUCAGUAAAUACUUGUUUUCUGCAGUUAUUCCCAGUGGGCUGAGCUGAUGAGACGGAGCUGGGUGAAGACAGCCAGCAGGGCGAUAGAAACCGUAUGAAGUUGAAAUGACUUACUUCGGUCCUCGACUGUAUUUAUAGCAUGCGUCAAAACAUCAUUUCUUUCACUUCUGAGAGUUAGGUACCGGCCUUAUCAAUUUGCCUUCACAGACCCUUUCGUUAUGGUAUGCACCAAUAGUCUAAAAUAAGGUUGGAAAGGCAUCGCUUACAGUGGUUACGGUCUGGGGCCCCUGGCUGGUGCAGUGUGUUAAGCAUCAGACUCUCCUUUGGUCAUGAUCCCAGAUGGUGAGUUGGAGCCCAGCACCCGCCCCCCUCCCUCCUCCCUGCUCAAGGUGAGUCUGCUUGGGAUUCUCUCCCCGCCCUUCCAGCUUGCACAUGCGUGGUGCGCGUGCACGUGCGUGCACGCUCUCUCUCCAAUAAAUAGGUAAAUCUUUAGGGAAAAAAUGGUUACAUUUUUAUACACACUUUGUUUGAUUCAGACUUUUCACCCAUUCAGCCCGGCCCUUUCCCCAAGUGCGCCAAAUUGCCACAUCAUCGGACACCGCUGUCAUCAGCGUUUCGUACCAGUGUUAAUUCCUGACCUAGCUGGUUCGCAGAUCAGUGAUCAGAAUGGCCUUGCUGGUUUAGCAGUACAUUUAAAGCAAAUUAUUUGAAGCUUUCCGUUUCUAAAGUUCCUGCUGGCGGAAUCUUUGCUGACUUUCCCCCUCCCCACCAAGAGGAAUUUAUAAAGCAUGAGAAAGGGACACGUUGCCUUGGGAACUGCACGCUGGAGACAGCCUAGGGAUCCCUCCGUCAAGCAUGAGUCGGAAGGUCCCUGCUGCGUCAGGCCCUCUGCUGUGCGUCAAAGGGACACAGAGCCUUCAGGACCUGUCCAGUGGGGAAGAAAGGGAGGGAAAUACAGUGUUCUAGGGAUUCUGUAAUUGUGUCUGUCUUCUGUGGAGCGCAGGUUCAGUGGGCAUAAGCAGAGGUGCCUUCAAAGCAGAAAGGGACAGGAGCCACUGCAGAGGACAACUGGGUUUUGUGGGCGCCCAACCAGGCAACCACUGGGAGCCUGCGUUCCGCUGGCCUCUGCGACCUCGGGUGCUGGGGACCUCGGACCUCGGACCUGGAAUCUUGGGGUGGGAGUGCACACAGCACCCAAGGCAGGUCAGGAGCCCAUUUCCGUUCUAGAGGCUGGGAAGUUCAAGAUCAAGGCGCUGGCAGAUUUGGCAUGGGGGAAGGGCUCUUUCCCUGGUUUUCAGACGGCUGUGUUCUUGCUGCCUUCUCAACAGACCUCACGUCUUUUCUCAUAAGGGCACAAAUCUCCUCAUGGGCUUCCAGCCCCUUUCCUGUCUUCAUCUAAACCUAGACUCUUCCCAGAGGCCCCACCUCCUAAGACCAUCACAUUGGGGGUUAGGCUGUCAACCACAUGGACUGGGGUGGGGGGACAUUGGGUCCAUAACAGCCAGGAACCACCAGAAGCUAGAAGAAGCAAGGAAGGACCCUCCCCCAGAGACGUCAGAGGGAGCGUGGCCAUCGUGCUCCCUUGAUUUUGAACUCUGGCCUCCAAAACUGUGAGAGAAGGAGCGUCUCUUGUUUUCGGCCUCCCAGUUUGUGGCCAUCGGCCCAGCGGCGCCGCUGGAGGAAGCGGACACGAUAAUGAGAUGACUCUGGGUUUUCUCGAUGGGCCCGGCAUCAUCACAAGGGUCCUCACGUGGGGAUGAGAAGAGCUGAAGAUUCAGAACCAGAGAGACGGUGUCCUGUGGGAGAUUUGCAGACUUUGACCAGGGAGGCAGGGGCCAUGAGCCAAGGAAUGGGGACGGCCUCUCCAAGCUCGAGAAGGCGGGGAUACCUGUUUCCCUCCUCCAGAGCCUCCAGAAAGGAAUGCAUUUCUGCCAACACCUUCGUUUUAGCUCAGUGAGGCCCAGUUUGGACUUCUGACCCACAGAACUCUCAGCUGGAAGGUCCUCAGGGUGGGAACCCUGUGUGUCUUCACGGCCCCAGCCCGUGAUACCCGGCCCGGAGCGGGCAUCUGAGUGAAAGAACGGGUGGAAACCAACUGGUCUCUUCACUGUCAACGUGCCGGACUCCUUCAGGCGCCUGCCUGCUGAGACCCUGCGUGGAGCCCAGGCAGGGAGGGCGGGAAGUCGGGAGCUGCCCGCAGGGUCGGGAAGAGUCGCCAUCCUUUUGCUGCCAGCCCCAGGUCCAGUAUGAUCUCCAGGCUGUCGCCAAAUACAAGCUUGGCUCUGUGUGGGAGGCGGCUACCCUUUAGUGAUGCGUAUUUCCAGGGAAUUUGCGCCAAGACAUUGUUCGUUGUUCGAGGUCUGAUGGAAUCAAGCAGAUACCUGCUUCUCUUCAAAAGGUCACCUUUUCAACCUGCUGAGUGGACGGAUUUACACUUUAGAGAGAAGGGAUGGACUUAGCUGACCAGUUCUUACAUAAUCAGCCUGAGAGUCUGAAUAUAAAAAUGACCAACGCCAAAGCAAAUGUAAAGAUAGAACUUUGACCCACAGCUGCCUGCCUAGGACAUCAGCACCGCCCCGCCCCUCCCCUACAGUAAACAGUAAACAACCCGGGAGGCCAGGCAGCUGUAAAUCAGACUUGCAGGAAGCCUCAGUGGGGUUCCUUGCUCCCGUGAGGAUCUACGAAGCUAAAGGGCUUCCGUGACAAUGGACCCAGAAUGACCAGCUCGUGAUUAAGAACUGACAGUGAUUAGGAACUGACAGUGAUUAGGAACUGACAGUGAUUAGGAACUGACAGCUUCCCUAAUUUCUGUCCCCUCUUCCAAUUUAGGACUAGCCAGAGAAAACCAAGUAGGUCCCCCUGAACAAUCACAUAGGACAGCCCCUUGCAGUCAGCCCCCUGCAGCUUCCCGGGGCCAACAGCUUCCAAUCAGGGCACCCCCCCCCCCCGAAGUCUUCCCUUCUUCCAGUGCAAGCCUUCCCCACCCUGACUGCCUUGAAUCUUGGCCCAAAUGCAAGUGACCCUGGCCCCUCUCCUUGGCUCUAGCAUAUUCGCAAGGAACGGCCUUUGCUUUUCUCUGUUGGUGGGUCUUUAUUUCCACAUCGAACCUAGAAGACUGGUGAGGUUUAAGUACGUGUGCCCAUGUGCAUGGGAGGCACUGAAUUCAAUGUUAUUUUAAAAAUCAGGGCGCUUGGGUGGCUCAGUUGGUUGAGUGUCUGCCUUCAGCUCAAGGGGUGAUCCCAGGGUCCUGGGAUCAAGUCCCACAUCCUAGCUCAGUGGGGAGCCUGCUUCUCCCUCUCCCACUCCCCCUGCUUAUGUUCCCUCUCUCACUGUAUCUCUCUCUGUUAAAUAAAUAAACAAAUCUUAAAUACAUACAAACAUACAUACCACUUUCAUUUUGCAGCUGACCGAAUUUUAAAUCCCGGAUUCUUUGGCAAAGAUCUCAGGAAAAGUUGUGUCUGAGCAAAGGCAGGCACUUUCCCAGAAAGAGCUAUACUCCCAAAGGGCACGGUUGAAACUUUGCAGCGUGAUCUUCAAAGCGUGGCCUCUGCUUUUGUUCGCACACAUGUGGCCCAGAAGGAGGGGCAGCGCCUGCUUCCAGGGGUGAGCCGAGGGCUGACCGCGGCCCCCCACUGCAGGCUUCAAGCUGGGGAGGCCACAGGUCUUUAUCUGUUCCUAGAAAGCUCUGUGACAGUGACAAACUGUGCAAGGCUCCUAACGAAACCCCAGAGGCUCCUGGUGCCACAUGGGAGAAACGCAGAGAGGGGUCUGGGGUCUGAUGGGGAAGGCGAAGUCUCUGAGACGUGGUAGUUGCUGGGAGGGAGGGGGGAGGGGGCGGGUAGUCAACCUCCAAAAUGGAAUCUGGGCACCCGUGACCGGAAGAAAUAAAGACAGCCUUCCAAUAAAUCAGCUGUGGCCAAGUACGUAAGAUUUUUAUUAAAAAUUUAAAAUCUCACCGUGGCCUUUAAGCCAACCAGAUUUAGAGUUAUGACUUCCUGCACGAGGCCUUGUUAACCUAGAGUUGGGGGUCCGGCUAUGUAGGCAUUGGAGACCCGGCCGCUCCCUGGCCUGGGAAUCCUGAGGGCCUGGGACCCUGGUGAGUGAUCCGAUCCCGGCUUUCCGGAGGGGGGGGGUCCGCACCCCCAGCCAUCGGACGCCGUCCCCACCCCACUGUGGUCCCACCCUGUGUUCCUGGGUCCCAGACGCCCUCCCUGCUCUUCUCCAUCCCAGGGAGGCUGCCCAACCUCACCAAAGCUCUCCGAGCUGAAGGCUCUGUCAUUGUCACAUUAGUGACUCCGCGUUUCCCUUCGGCUGGGCAAAUUUUUUCAGGCAGGUGAAGCUCCAAGUUCAGCCCCUGCGCUCAGGUUUCCAGCACGGGCGCCACUUCAGGCGUCUGUCAACUCCUGUGUUUUAUCAUUAAGACUGCCAUUUUCCCGGCUGGGGUUCAAGUCCUAACUCCCCAUCCCCCGCUUACUCACGCACGCCCUCCAUGUGCAGAGGGGCAGGGCUAAGCUCGUACUUCUUUGGGGUGAUGAGAGAUUUAAAUGAGUCCGUGUACAGUGGGGCGCCCAGCACCGAGCAGGCCCGCAGGCAUCUUUGCUGUGAGUACACCAGUCUGUUCGUGCUGGGGAGGACAGAGGCGCGCAGUGGUGGAAAGUUCUCUUGGACUUUGAGGGCUGCAGACAGAGCCUAAUGUGGCCCUCCCAGGUCAAAGAGAAGCAAGAUGGCAACAAUUAUGCAGUAGCUGAGAAAACUGUGCCUGAGAAUCAGUGAGAUGCCCCUGGACAGCCUUGGUGGAACUUGGAGAUGUCUCGAGUGGUGGCAGAGUCCAGCCUUGGGUUUUCUUUUUUUUUUUUUUCAUUUUUUUUUAAAGAUUUUAUUUAUUUAUUUAAUAGAAAGAGAGAUCACAAGUAGGCAGAGAGGCAGGCAGAGAGAGAGGGGGGAAGCAGGCACCCCGCUGAGCAGAGAGCCCACUGCGGGGCUCGAUCCCAGGACCCUGAGACUGUGACCUGAGCCAAAGGCAGAGGCUUAACCCACUGAGCCACCCAGGCAACUACCGGCCUUGGGUUUUCUGAAACUGUGGCCCCACUUUGAUGGUGGCCCCACUGGACAGCAGGGCAAUGCCUUUAGGGUUCCGGCCAUCAAGGAGGCCUUCGAGGGAUGCGCCAGCCCCGCCGAAGGCCCAGCUGCCCUCCUUCCUGGCAGAGCCUCCUUGAUGCCAGCGCUGGCUGCGCGGUUUGGGGGGCCCCCGUGUACAAUGGAAAAACGGGCCUCUUGUUCAGAAAGGAGGAAAAAGUGCCAUUACAGACAUUCACAAAGCUUUUCUCUACCUUCUAGAGCCUGACUGGACACUUUUGGUUUGUUACUUAAUGCUGUGUCCCCUUGGGCCUGAGGAUACUCAGAGGACAAGUAUGGACUGUCAGAUCCCCCUCUUGCCAUAGUGGGGACCACGGUGCCCUGGCUGGGGGCCGGAAGUCAAUCUCUCCUUCCCGUGGGCCUGCCGCCCCAGCCCACAGUGGAUGGGGAACCCCAAGGGAAUGCAACUUGGUGCCUGGAUAGGGGGGUAGGCAAAGGGACGCCCCCACCGAGUCAAGCACACCAUGGCUUAGGCAGCCCAGGGCAAAGACAGUUGCCACUGUGUCCCCCCUUAGACCUCUGCUGGGAACAGAGGGUUAUAGCAACAUACUAGCCUCCCCUACAUCCCCCUGCCAUCAGCAUGACUGAGUCACCAGCCUGGGCUGAGGGCAGAGCAGGCUGGGGUGGGGAGGGGGAGGUCAGGGGGCAGGUAGCUGAGAACCUUCUAGUCCAGAGGCGGGGACUGCCUACGGCCCACACUUCCAUUGUCCCGUCGGACUUCACUUAUAAAACACAGACUCGUAGGUGAAAUUGUUAAGAAUUUCAAGAUAGUGACCUUGGAGCAUGAAACUAGAUACAGGCCCUUCUGAGUUGACCUGGCUGCCCUGGGUAUGUGCCCAUGAAGCUGACCCUGACACCCAGCCCCUCGGGCUCCUUCGCCCUCUGUGCACCCCUCCGUCAUGGGCUACAAGUCUUUAUGCUGUGAGCAGAGCUGCACAGAAAUGGAACUGAAAAUGGCCUACUGAUUCCAUCUUACUCCCAAGUCCCCACUCUCAUGAGGACCAGAAAAAGAAAAAAAAAAUUAAAACACCGUGAACUUGCUAAUAAAA